CCUUCCCAGACCUCAUUUAAGGAUUGGCAGUGGAGGCAAGGUUAUCUCUGUAGAGAUCCUUGUAUGCUUGAGGCCUUUUGAAGGGAAUCCUGGCUGCGAGACUCUUUUGGAACCAGUGGAGCUGCCAAGCUUGUGUGAUCACUUUUCUUUCUGCAGCUGCUGUGGUGGGAAGCUUAGAAAUAUUUAAGCAACUGAGUACUGAGUGCAGUGGGUUGAACUUCAGUGAGGAUAAAACUGCUGGAGAAAAUGGUCUCACCUGAACCGUUUGCCAUCAGUGAGCUUUUGGAUCUCAUAGAAGCCCUUUCCCUGCAGGUUGUGAAAGAUGAAGGCUAACUCUUCAAGGAUUACUCUCUUAUCAGGCUUCUGAUGUCUGAGCCUGGAAAAUGUGAUCUGUGACCAGUGGAGAAGUGGCAGAAGAUCUUCAUGGAAGUUCCAGAACUGUCAUAGCUGUAGGCUGUAAUUGCUCUGUAAUGAGUGUCCUAAUAUUGACUGCCUUUGUCCUGAACUGCUUUUUCUCUUAAAGGGAAAAAAUCAGCUUACUUGUUAAUUUAAUAUCAGGUAGAAUGUUUUAAAAUGGGGAAACAAUAGCUUCUGAAAUCUGCUUUGCAUUUAAUAAAAUGAAUGUUUCAACAUAAUUUUUUUAAACAUCUCUCAUCCUCUCAACUGCAUUAAGGAUUAGGCUGUGUUGUGUCCUCUGCUACUGAUAUGCAUUUUUCACAGGCAUCAGAUCUUUUGCACAGUAAUGUUGAUUUCUUAGUAGAAAAUAGUAACUUAUUCAUAAGGUGUGCUUGGGUUUUUUUAAUCCAUUAUUUUAGAAACAUUAAUGUAACAAUUACAGAGUUAAAAAAUAUUUUUAGAAUCCAGUGGAGGUGCGUUAUAAGUAGACAUUAGACUCACAAACUUGAUGUUAAGAUGUUAGAUGUUAUAAGGUAGAAUUGCUCUCCUGACUUCAGAGAAGAAAUGCUGAUUUGUAGCUGAUAAAGAGCUGGCUUCAGUCCUGGGAAGCACAUGGUUUGUCCUAUCCCUGUGCCAAUGCAGGACUGCUUCAGAAAGCAUGCAUUUUAACGUUAU